CGCUCGCCCCAGACUGAGAGCUGUCUCUGUUCACCGACACACAACUUCUGUCCGCUCACCUACCAUGGGCACCAUGUGACCAGAAACCACGCCAUUGGCUGCCAAUUAUGUGGUAUUUGCAUAUUCAUUAGAUGACAGGGCAAGGGGCGGGACUUGGGCGAACCCUGGGAGUUGAAGUUUGAACCCAAGCAGGGGGUAAGUGAGGGGAGAUGUUAAGGACCCUCCUUUAAACGACUUGGAAGCCGUUAGGAUACUUAGGGUGGUUUGGAUGGUUAUUCUCUUGCUCUUCAAACACGAUGGCUCGAAAGGAAGAGUGAAUUUGAGCAACAGUUGCGCAGCACUACAGAAGCAGAUGCUUGGGCAGGCUGCACAGAAAACGCUCUGCUAACUGCGAUCGAUCAAUCCUGCCAGUGGCUAAGACCAAAACAUUUCAGAAGCAGCAAACUUCUUUCCUGGCAAGACCUACUCGCAUUCCUUUCGAUGCCUCCCCACUCUUGAUCACUAUUUGUAAGGCGGUUGCUGGCCUUGCAUUCCACAUAUAUCUACUUAGAAAGAAAACUAAAGCUUGGAACAAACACGGUUAC
rnacentral:lncRNA from 1 species